GUAAUUUGCAGAGGAUGCUUUUGGCGCNNUGCCUUCCGAGUUCCCUGGAACGGGACGCCAUAGAGGGUGAGAGCCCCGUCUGGUCGGACGCCUAGCCUGUGUAAAGCUCCUUCGACGAGUCGAGUAGUUUGGGAAUGCUGCUCUAAAUGGGAGGUAUAUGUCUUCUAAAGCUAAAUACCGGCCAGAGACCGAUAGCGCACAAGUAGAGUGAUCGAAAGAUGAAAAGCACUUUGAAAAGAGGGUUAAAUAGUACGUGAAAUUGUUGAAAGGGAAGCGCUUGUGACCAGACUUGGGCCCGGUGGAUCAUCCAGCGUUCUCGCUGGUGCACUCCGCCGGGUUCAGGCCAGCAUCAGUUCGCCGCGGGGGAAAAAGGCUUCGGGAACGUGGCUCCUACGGGAGUGUUAUAGCCCGUUGCAUAAUACCCUGGGGCGGACUGAGGUUCGCGCUCCGCAAGGAUGCUGGCGUAAUGGUCAUCAGCGACCCGUC
rnacentral:rRNA from 1 species